CAAAAAGUUUGUGGAGUCCAGGCUCAAGUGAUAUUUUUGACGAUAGUGACACUGAUCCACACUAUACUUUACCUAAAAUCAACCAAGGCACAUCAUUAUCUCCUCAAAUAAAGUCAACGAAACUUCAAAAUAUACCCUUAACGUGGCCUCAACAGCCCGUCAGAAAGAAGCUUCACUUUGACAAAUGUCUUAAAAAUGCCAAUCAAAAUGAACAAACACCUGAUGACCAAACUACUAUCAUACAUACAUUAUCCUCUCCAUUUAAAGUUUCAACCAUCAAUAAUGCUACUAUCACAAGUACUCCACUACAAUCUAAUUCUAAGAUUCCAACUUCAAAUGAUAAUAUUGAAAUUUUUGACAAACUAAACCGAAACAUUUUAAACAUAAAAUAUGAAGUAAAAUCUUUGCAUGAUAAAAUUGAUAAGCUGGAAAAUCUUAUAGUAAAUAUCAGAUCUAAUACAACUGAAUACAGUAAUGAAGAUGCC